rnacentral:rRNA from 1 species
UUCCAGACUCCUACGGGAGGCAGCAGUGGGGAAUAUUGCACAAUGGGGGAAACCCUGAUGCAGCGACGCCGCGUGAGUGAAGAAGUAUUUCGGUAUGUAGAGCUCUAUCAGCAGGGAAGAAAAUGACGGCACCUGAUUAAGAAGCCCCGGCUAAUUACGUGCCAGCAGCCGCGGUAAUACGUAGGGGGCAAGCGUUAUCCGGAUUUACUGGGUGUAAAGGGAGCGUAGACGGCGACGCAAGUCUGAAGUGAAAUGCCAGUGCUCAACACUGGAACUGCUUUGGAAACUGUGUGGCUAGAGUGCAGGAGAGGUAAGUGGAAUUCCUAGUGUAGCGGUGAAAUGCGUAGAUAUUAGGAGGAACACCAGUGGCGAAGGCGGCUUACUGGACUGUAACUGACGUUGAGGCUCGAAGGCGUGGGGAGCAACCAGGAUUAGAUACCCCGGUAC